GCCCGUUUAGCACAGUGGUAGUGCGUUCCACUCGUAACAUGUUGCAAUGGAAAGGUCGCUCGUUCAAUCCGGGCAGGGGGCA
rfam:Sphaerobolus stellatus SS14 unplaced genomic scaffold SPHSTscaffold_235, whole genome shotgun sequence.